rnacentral:piRNA from 1 species
AGCCAAAGCUUCCAAGUUAGGUGGUAU